UCAGAAAGGGGAAACACUGGCAAUAUAACUACACUUCUUGUAUACCUGCAAGUUUUACACAUGGGAUGCAUGUAUUUGUUUUAUUCAUUCUAGUAGAAUAACAAAUCUUCAAAAUCUAAUAAGCUAUCAAUAUAUUUCACUUGUGUAUAAUAUACAUCUCUGGGAGCAAAUUAAAGAACAUUAGAUUGCACCUGUACGUAAACUGCAAAACUUCGUCUAUCUGAAAACAUAUCAUAACUUUGAAAGAAGCUAAUUAAUAUAUCAAUUGUGAAGCGGGUUUGGUCCACCUGGAACAGUCCGGUCUGACGUUCCAUAAAUUGGGUGGGUGCCAACACUUUUGGCUUCCGCGGGAGCUGGUGCAGGAAAAUGGCAUGGAAACGGGGAACUGAAUUGUGUUUUAAUUUCUGUCGUCUUUGUUCCUUCAAUUGCACUUCUGUGGAUAUCACGGCAAGUUGAGAGCUGACCGAAGGUGAGCAUGACCAUGAUGACCAGAAACGGUACCGCAGGAUAUUGAACACCCAUGAUUCUUAUGAUGAAGAACUGAACUAGAAACCAAAGGAUGAUUGAAUUAAUGGAGUUUGUUCUCUAAUGCAGGCUCAGGCUGUGAAGUAUUUAAUAUGGCUUUGGUAGAAAAACUUGGUCAUUAUAAAAUGACAAAAAUGCCCUUUUAUUUCUCCAAUUAUUAUUUUUAUGAUGUAAUUGCUGUUGUACCUAAAAUUGCCAAGUUCUUGUUUUCUCUUAAAGAUCUGCUAAACCAGAUUCAUCUUAUUAGCACUAGUGUUGAUUGUUGAUGAUCUGCAAUGCAGGUGAUGAUCGGGAUUCUUGGUUCUAACAUCCAAAUUCCAGCGAGAUUUAACGUAUUUAAUAUGGUGAAAAUUAAAGCCAGUUCCCAUUGGUACAUGUGUAAGUAAUUUGUAUGAUCCAUCUGUAUUGAUGAUUUAUGAAUAUAUGGAUUCGUAUUUAAAGGCUUACAUGGUCAUUUUGUAUACGGGUAGUGUGCUCAUGUGUAUAACCCUUUCGUGAAGGGGUUUAUAUCUUUGACUUGCACUUCAUUUGGCCUGUCCAAUAUUAAUUUAAAUAAUCAGCAUGCUAAUGCUAAUCCAAUAUAUUAAUAGUAUUUUGGUAGAAACUUGACAUGAUACAUUGGGAGACAGGUGCCGCCAGACAUGGUAAACAAGUGUAGCACAUGAUCUUGCCGACUACUCUUUAUGAUUUUAGUUUUGAAUUUUGAAGUUUGUACAUAUAUAAUCAUAUCAUAUCAUAUCAAGAAGGCUUCCCAUUACAGAUGUACAAGGGUUGUAUCUUGUUAAUCGGUUUUUGUACAUAGUUAUUAUAUUACUGGGAG
rnacentral:lncRNA from 1 species